AGAAAUUUAGGGUAAUGCCAGCCCAAAGGCCUUCAAAGCCUUAAGCAAGAGUUUAAAUCUCUUAAUUUCUG
rnacentral:tRNA from 1 species